rnacentral:piRNA from 1 species
UUAAGGAAGCAUGGACCUGGAAAGGU